rnacentral:rRNA from 1 species
UACGGAAGGCAGCAGUGGGGAAUAUUGCACAAUGGGCGAAAGCCUGAUGCAGCUAUGCCGCGUGUAUGAAGAAGGCCUUAGGGUUGUAAAGUACUUUCAUCGGGGAGGAAAAAACAAAACUAAUAAUUUUAUUUCUUGACGUUACCCGAAAAAGAAGCACCGGCUAACUCCGUGCCAGCAGCCGCGGUAAUACGGGAGGGUGCUAGCGUUAAUCAGAAUUACUGGGCGUAAAGAGCACGUAGGUUGGUUUUUUUAAGUCAGAUGUGAAAUCCCUGGGCUUUAACCUGGAACUGCAUUUUGAAACUGAAAUACUAGAGUAUCGUAGAGGGAGGUAGAAUUCUAGGUGUAGCGGUGAAAUGCGUAGAUAUCUGGAGGAAUACCUGUGGCGAAAGCGGCCUCCUAAACGAAUACUGACACUGAGGGUGCGAAAGCGGUGGGGAGCAAACGAGGGAUUAGAUACC